UUGGCAAGACCAUACAGAAGAUACAGCUAAUAGUUUGGAAUUUUAACACUUUCCUGAGUAAGAAUUGAGCAUACAAUUUAUGCCAUCACACAGUUUCGGUUACUAGUUGAAUCGAAGCCGGAUUCGUUCUAUUCUACACGAACCAAUACUUCACCCAUUUUCCACAAAAGAUGGUACGGACGAUCGAACGUGUAUCACUAACGAAAAAUGAUCGGUUCCGCGCGUCAUAUCAUCGACACAAGAAAAAUAAUGAAAAUUUCAACAAAAAGGGUUGUCGGUGACUCUAUGAGCUUCCUGUGUAUCCUCCUACAUCUACAAAGUUUGAUCGUUUCGUCCAUGGUCUGUUAACAUUGUGACCGUGUCCGUGAAGCGUGUCGGGAGCACGCAACACAAAGGCACUUCACAACAACCUUAACUAAUAAGGCACUGUUAAAGAUUGCAUUGGACUGGAUCAUACUCUGUAGAUGUAGAUGAAUACACAUUAGGCUCACUAAGAAUCACCAGAUAACCCGUGAUGACGUCAUUUUUAGAAGUCAUAUUAAUACACAUUUUAGGUAAAAUUGGUCCUAGUAAAUUAUAAGAAAAUGAAAUUUUCAGAAUAAUUCUGGACGAUUUAACUCGCCCUCUAAAUUAGAAUUAAUUAAUUUUAAGUUUUUUUUCAAUCUUCUGACAUUUCAUUGAUCAUUUAAAUAAAAACAAAUUAUUAAA